GGUACACCAGCACCUCUAUGAGUCUUAGUUCCCUUCUCCCUCUCCUAAGCGUUCUUGCUUAGUCAAGCUCUUUGAGCUAAUUAAGUAAAGAAUCUUAGUAUUAGCUGACCUCCAAAAAAAUAGUAGCUAGUGAUUAGUACUAAUCAAGAUUAGUACAGUAAGUAAUUGCCAUCAAUGAAGAAAACCCAAAAAUAUUUCCCUUUCCGAAUAAAAUUUGUGGCGCCCUUGAACGUUUUUGGCUGUUUGACCCCCACAAGGACGACUGACCCGACUAAUCCUUUUUGGUUAGUCCCUCGGGUAUUUGUUGCACUAAUCUUUUGCAGGGAUCAUGUGGAACCCCAUCAAGAAGACGCUCAAGAAGAACAGCUCCGCCGGCUCUUCUCGGCACUCGCGGAGUUAGGCAUCCUCCUAGGAUGACAUGUCGGUGGACUUGGACCGCCAGACCAGUGUUUCCUAGGAGGACACAAUUCCUGCAAUGGCUAGGACCGCGUCCGCAUUCGUAUUCACAUCUUGGAAACGAUCGAACAGAUCAUACCUGGAACGAUUAUGAGCGGGAGGCGUUGGAGCUCCUGAAGAAGCAAGUUUCAGCCACGUCAAGGUUUUCGAGCCCCUCUUCCUCAUCAAAACAGACUUGAAGCAGGACAUGAACCGCGCAUUUGCUUACGCCGGUUGGGAGAAUUUUGCCGACAUCACUGAGGCAGGUUCGCAGCUCUUAACCAUAGAAUUUCUCAUGUCUCUUAGCAUUGAAGAAAUGGGCAAAACAACUAAAGUCUAUUUUCAUUUCUUUAAUGAACAAUAUGAGUUAACACUAAAAGAGCUUAGCGUAGUGCUUGGUUUUAAUAAGAAGUGUGUGUUAGAUCCUAAUGCCUUCGCUAAAGACCAUCAAUAUGAUUGUACCACCUGGUGGAAUUCAAAUUUCUGAGAAGCGUGUUAGCAGCAAUAACAAUAUAGUGUCAAUCCAUAAUCCAAUUCUUAGGCUGCUAGCAAAAUGGCUUUGCAUGGCUAUGCACCCGCACUCCGACCUGCGCUUCUGUAGCUCUCCGGAGCUGCAAUGUCUCUUUGCUAUGGCAGAAGAUGAUCGUGGGCAGGAGGCCUCAUCGACAUAACCUCUUUGGUUUCGCGCAUUGCUGCGCAUGGCAGUGCAUUGGAGAAUGCCCAGGUCACCUACUUGCCUUUGACAGAAGCAUACCAGCUCCAAGUUGGCCUAGAGCAUUUUGUGCAGGGACAUCUGAUGUGCGAGGAGCCGGGAAACUCUCUUUUCAUGUGUUAUCCCGGGUACGAUAGAGAAAUCGAGCUCCCAUGCUCGAGAUUCUCUCUCUUCUUGGUCAAGCGACUAACUUUGCAGAUGGAGAGGAAGGAGUCGGCUCGCCACAGUGUUGCUGGUCCGGUGACAUGAGGCCGGGCACGACGCAACACCCAGCAGGACUAUCACAGCCACAACCUCAGGUAGAGGCUUCCUAGCAGACUGGACUAUCUACGACACACAUGAGCUUUGAGGACACCUAUGAGCAGUACACUCAUGGUGGCUCGACCGCCAUUGGAGGUAGAACUGGGAUUCUAUUACCCCCCAGGUAUGUGGAGUUCCUAUGGACCGCAGGUAGGGCCAUCGACUUCGGCACGCUAUGGUUAUGAGAACCUGAUCAUGCGGGGGAUCAUGAACCUCACGACCUGAGUCGACGCUCUGGGUCUGCAGCAGGACCAGAUCAGCCAGGAUCUUGUACACAACACCGAUCUCACGCAGCAGAACUGGGGAAUGACCACAUCCAUGCACUACGACAUCUCUAGCGUCUUCAACCAUCUAGGUCUCGGUUCCGACAAGUAGCAGCACUACUACCACCACCAGCGGCACUACGACCCCAACCAGCAGAACUGAGCUUCAUCUAAGCUUGGGGGUGUAUUCAGGUAUGGAGAAUUUGAAGGCAUACUUGUUCCUCAUCUUUUGCUAAGUCAAAAACCGGAUCCAAGGGAGAAACAAGUCAUAAACCUUGAUCAAGAUGUGCAUGUGUGUGGGUAUUGUGGAUGGAUGUAUGAACUCCUUUUCAUGAGCCAUCUCUCCUUUAUUAUUUUUUCUUGGAUAUGUUCUAUCAUUCUUUCUUUCUCUCGUUUUCUUCUCUUUUUUCCUUGGACCAUCAUGUGUCCAAUUCUUUCUUUUUCUUUUCAUGCCUUCUUGAGCAUGUCCUUUAUUUCUUUUUGCAUAACCCAUAUCCUUUUUCUCAUGGCACUUUUGGAGAGAGCGAGUGGUCAUGAAACAUGGAGUUUUAUUUUGUGGGUGGAUGGAUGAAGUGUAUGCUAACUUCCGGUGUAGAAGCAUAGCGUAUGGUGGAGGCGUGUAUGUCAUCUUGAUCAUGGGAGUUUGAAAUAUAUUUCAAAAAGGGUUACAGCAGUUUGAUGAAGCUCAAUGAGAGAACAAGUUGCA